rnacentral:tRNA from 1 species
CCCUUGGUGGUGCAAACGGUUAGCACAUUCAGCUGCUCACUGAAAGAUUAAUGGUUCAAGUCCUCCCAGAGG